rnacentral:rRNA from 1 species
UACGUAGGUGGCAAGCGAUACUCGGAAUCACUAGGCGUAAAGCGCAGGUAGGCGGUUUGAUAAGUCUUUUGUGAAAGCUCCUGGCUUAACUGGGAGAGGUCAAGGGAAACUGUCAGACUAGAGUUCGGUAGGGGAUACUGGAAUUCCUGGUGUAGCGGUGAAAUGCGUAGAUAUCAGGAGGAAUACCUAUGGCGAAAGCAGGUAUCUGGGCCACAACUGACGCUGAGCUGCGAAAGCUAGGGGAGCAAACAGG